GACGAACGCUGGCGGCGUGCUUAACACAUGCAAGUCGAACGGACAGGCCCUGCUUUUGUGGGGUGCUCGAGUGGCGAACGGGUGAGUAACACGCGAGUAACCUGCCCUUGACUUUGGGAUAACAUCAGGAAAAUGGGGAUAAUACCGGAUAGGAGCUCCUGCUGCACGGUGGGGGUUGGAAAGUUUCGGCGGUUGGGGAUGGACUAGCGGCUUAUCAGCUUGUUGGUGGGGUAGUGGCUUACCAAGGCUUUGACGGGUAGCCGGCCUGGGAGGGUGACCGGCCACAUUGGGACUGAGAGACGGCCCAGACUCCUACGGGAGGCAGCAGUGGGGAAUAUUGCACAAUGGGCGGGAGCCUGAUGCAGCAACGCCGCGUGCGGGAUGACGGCCUUCGGGUUGUAAACCGCUUUCGCCGGUGACGAAGCGUGAGUGACGGUAAUGGGUAAAGAAGCACCGGCUAACUACGUG
rnacentral:rRNA from 1 species